AUGACCCUGGUGGCCAGCGAAGAUUAUGGCGACACUCUUGCUGCCAUCCAGGGCUUACUGAAGAAACAUGAAGCUUUUGAGACAGACUUCACCGUCCACAAGGAUCGCGUGAAUGACGUCUGCACCAAUGGACAAGACCUCAUUAAGAAGAACAAUCACCAUGAGGAGAACAUCUCUUCAAAGAUGAAGGGCCUGAACGGGAAAGUGUCAGACCUGGAGAAAGCUGCAGCCCAGAGAAAGGCGAAGCUGGAUGAGAACUCGGCCUUCCUUCAGUUCAACUGGAAGGCGGACGUGGUGGAGUCCUGGAUCGGUGAGCACUGUCAGCAAGGCCCGGAAGAGCCUUCCCAGAGCUGCUCUUUGUCUCCUUCCGUGUCAUUGGUUUUCUUCUGCAGAGAAGAAACUGAUCAAUUGUGGGCAUGGCAGAGAACCUACUACCAGGGCAGACCACUGACUGCCAGCUAGGAGGAGACAGUGUCCUGAGGCCAGAGCUGCCACCCGGAACUGGGCUGGCACCAGGGUUAAUAAACAAAAGCCUGUAAACGCUGCUGCACGCAGAGAUGGCAUAAUGUGACGUCAUGGCAUGAACAAAGUUGGCACAGCAAAGGCACCACUAGCUGCCCUGGUCAGGGGCGCCACCCAGCUCCUGGAUGAGGGAAAACUGGGUCCGGAUAUCGGGGUCCACGUGUCCUGGGUAGUAGUAAUAGCAACUGAACU
rnacentral:sRNA from 1 species